rnacentral:rRNA from 1 species
UACGUAGGUGGCGAGCGUUAUCCGGAUUUACUGGGCGUAAAGCGCUUGUAGGCGGUUUCGUAAGCUGGGCGUGAAAGCUCCGGGCUUAACCCGGAGAGGCCGUCCAAUACUGCGGAGCUCGAGGGUGCCAGAGGAAGGUGGAAUUCCUGGUGUAGCGGUGAAAUGCGUAGAUAUCAGGAGGAACACCCGUGGCGAAGGCGGCUUUCUGGGGCAUUCCUGACGCUGAGACGCGAAAGCUAGGGGAGCAAACAGG